AUUUUCAUGUGUUGUAUGUUUUUUGGGCAUGGCCGUGCCUCUGUUUUGAGUUUUGGUUUUCAAUUUUCGUUAUGUGUUUUUAUUUUCUGAUCCUUACUUUUUCUGUUUGUAUUCUAUGUUUUCAUUUGUUUACAUUCUUAUGAGCAUAGCUGCAAACAGACUGGAGCAGGCCAGACUGUGUGUGUUACAGGAGCAGCAGGAGGAUUUGUUUUCAUGGCUUGCGAAGCUAUUGGAACAGUUCGCAUUCCAGGAAGAAAAAAAUAAGUACUGGUAACGAUAAAGAGGAAGAGAAGAAAUAAGCGCUGACAAUGAUAAGGAGGAGGAGAAUUACACAUCACAAUUAUCAGGAAUUACACCAGGUUCACAGUGACCUCUAUGUCUACAUCAGAAUCAGCAUCAAACUCCACAAUCUAUUUCACUUUUGUUGUCGAUUUAGUCUGAGGCUUGCUUGAGGCUUGCUUGAGGCACAAGUAAGUCUUGUACAAUAACCCAUGGUGCUCUUUAACAGCAUCAUCUUCUUCCUUCCUUCGACUUCCAGUAGGUGAACAGGUCAAGUACUUCCAGUAGGUGAACAGGUCAGGUCGUGCAAGUAAUGCAGAUCAAAUUUCACACAAAAAAAGAUUGCAAAAUGGAAGAUCAUGCCACUAGACAAGAUCACUGUUGUGAUUUUGUUUUUAAACUCUUAUCUUUUCAUAAUCCAGUUCCAGAAUUCAAUUUUCAAAGUUGUGCCAGCAUGUCAUCAAUUGCAAUUCACGUUUCAAGGUACACAGUCAUAAUCCUAUUAUAUUUCAACACAUGUUCAACUGCAAUCCAGUUAGCAUACAUUAGUCAAUUUAUCAGAUGCAUCUCCUCUACCUAAAGUGAUAACUGUGUUUAAUAAACUUAUUCCUUUAGAUUUAGAUCCUUAAUUUUUAUCAUUAUUUUUCAGUUUUUCUCUUUCUGUUUCACUCUUUCUGUUUCACUGAGGGUUAUGUCCUUAGCUGAAUGUUA